rnacentral:rRNA from 1 species
CCUACGGGAGGCAGCAGUAGGGAAUAUUGCUCAAUGGGCGUAACCCUGAAGCAGCAACGCCGCGUGGAGGAUGAAGGCUUUCGGAUUGUAAACUCCUUUUGUUAGAGAAGAUAAUGACGGUAUCUAACGAAUAAGCACCGGCUAAAACCGUGCCAGCAGCCGCGGUAAUAAGGAGGGUGCAAGCGGUACUCGGAAUGACUGGGCGGAAAGAGCGCGUAGGCGGGAUAGCAAGUCAGGUGUGAAAACCUAUGGCUUAACCAUAGAACUGCCUUUGAAACUGUUAUUCUAGAGUAGGGGAGAGGUAGGUGGAAUUCUUGGUGUAGGGGUAAAAUGCGUAGAGAUCAAGAGGAAUACUGAUUGCGAAGGCGACCUGCUAGCACAUAACUGACGCUGAUGCGCGAAAGCGUGGGUAGCAAACAGGAUUAGAUACCCUAGUAGUC